GGCACAGUGUUACAGUUGAUAGCACUUUAGCCUUUUAGCACGAAGGUCCUGGGUUCGACUCCCAGCCUGGGGUCA